CUUUUUCCUGAUGCCUUUUGUUUUGUAGCUUUAGGUUCGGUGUUAAAAAUGCCAGUGUGAACGCUAAGCGAACCAGGACUAAAUGUAUCAUUUUCUUUUUUGGUCCGUACCAAGAGAACCGAACUACAAGUGUGAACACACCCUUAGUGAGCUGUCUCCUGCCUACAUAGACAGCUGUCUUCUAUGGCAGCAUCUGAAAUGAUGCCUCAUAUACACCAAUUUGGAACGCCCUACAUAGGUGGCAGCUCCACGCAUAGUUCAAACAGCGAUCCUCACGCACAGCGCACGCGAGACUCGACCCGCAACUGAUUUCAAUACUGGUGAUGCGAGAAGAACAACGUGAUACUCUAAUGAGCAUGAAUAGUUUGAGUAAAAUAGUCAGUUUUCUAUUAUAUUUUCUAUAAUAUUAAACAAUUACAUUACGACACUUUUCAGUAUUGAAUGGUUUGUUUAUAAUCAAAAUUUCUCUCGCUUCGUCCGCCACUUGGAUUAAUGCUGCCUUCAUGUGCUAUCGGAAUUAUCCUACUUCCCAGUUCUGAAGUGGUAAUUAUGAGUACAUCGUGUGCACGUGCUUUGUUGUUGGAAAGAACGGUGUUACAAUAUAUUCAGUUCCUGAGACAUUUGGUUCCAGUGGGUGGAGCCCAUAUGAAUAUUAAUGAAUUAUCCUGACAUGCGUGUUGAAGUGAAACUGAAAAUGUUAGCGCACCACCGUCAUGACUCAAGUUCAACUUGUCUAAAGGAUUAUUUUGAAAAGGUAUUUAAGUUUCAGCAUCGAACAAAGUAUGUAAUAACUACAAUAUUCAGAUUUUCGUAAUAGUUUGUAGUUUAUAAGUGCAAUAUGUGUUUUCAUUAGUUUUGUGUUCCUGAGUACAGCAUUUACUGAAGUAGGUAUUAGGCAAAUUUAGAGUACAACAGAGCAAACUUUAGCAAAUACAAAUACAGUAGUCUACAGUUAUCGUGCCUUGUGUUAAACAUACUGAUUCUGUCCUCACUUAGACAAAUAGGUAAACUCCUUCACACAUAGGCUUGUGGGUGAGCUUUCCUUUUAUUCAACAUCACAAUGAAUAUGUUGAAAAAGAGUGAAACUGCAGUAAAAGGAUGAAAAUAUAAUACGUCUACUUGAAUCUCUAACAACACCGCUCCAAUAUGAGUUUUUUUUUUUUGUGGUUUAAAUAUUUAAUUACAUAUAGCUAUAUAAACAAUAAAUACAGGAAUUAUCACUUACAGACAAUACUUUCUACAAGUGAUCACAGAAAGGAUGGCUUCAGUAGUCUAGCUGUGAUAGUAAUUUAAGCACUGCACUUUUCUGAAUAAAAAUGUAUCAGAAUGUUUGCUGGCAACCGUUUAAAAGACUGCAUGACUAGGUAAAGAACUGAUAGUGACUAGCAAGCAAUAAAGCAUUAAAUAAAUGAUUAAAUACAUGAUCCAGAACAAUACUCAAGUCUCAUUCACAGGUGUUCUUCUCAUUUCUUAUUUUCAAGUUUAGCCUACUCUAUGUACAAUGACAAAAUCAUCUGCUGCACACACCAAAGGCAUGUUGCACCAAUUCCGGCCUUCUGUAUUAUACGUUAUGCAAAUAUUAGUCACAUGAAGCAAUGUUACCAAAGCCUAAUAAUUUGAGGAAGCAGUCACCAUGAACGUGGCUCUUCUUGGUAAGAUAAUGAAAGCUUCAAAACAUAAUUUGAAAUUAAACUCAAGAUUAGUGAGUGCCCCAGAAAAUAGUUUAUUAAAACAUGCUUGGCACACUGGACAAAUGAAACAGCCUCCAUAUUUGCUUGGAUAACAUACUGCCAGUGGUGCCAGCCACUGCAGCUCUCACAUUCAAUCUGAAAGAGAUAAUGACAUUGACAUCACAUGAGUAUGAAUUUAUUCUUAAAAGAUCAUGUAAGGUUAAUACAUAUUUGAAUUUUGUAAAGCAAACUGAAAUACCAAAUAAGUUUUCAUAUUAACACACUAAAAUGUCCACUCACAGUGUCUUCUGUGAAAUGAUAUUUGUACCCUACUAAACACAAUUCUGAAUAAUAAUGAUAAUAAACAUGCCACAAGAACAAAGCAUAAAUCAACAUUUCAUGUUGCAACAUUAUAUUAUGGCAUAUAUUGAUAAGUGACCCACAUGAAUUGCUAUCAGGUUAACUGUGAUAAAGGCAGAAACUUGUAUCUUGUUUCCAGUAGAAAUAUUUAAACAUCCUUGUAAAGCAUAUUUGCCAUAAAGUGUUAAGACUCACUGAAAUUAUAACUUGUUUUUGUUUAUUUCUUGUUUUUAUUUCUUGUUUUCUGACAGCCAAUUACAGUAGCAUUGAAACCUUAAUUGUUAAUAAAACACCUCUUUGUGGAAAAAUGUUACACAACCUAUGAAUUGUUGCAAAAUAUUACUUAUUAAUAUACAACAUUAAGAAUUUAAAAAGCUACGGGGUGGUUAAGUGGCUUAAGCUUGCUCUCCUGUAUCCUAAAGUGGCUGACUGUAAUCAUUCGUGCAAGAAUAAAAAGCGCACCGACUAAUCAAAAGCACUUUUGACAAAUUAUCAAAUGUUACAGAAAUGUAAACUGUUGUAGUUUAGACUAUCUUUGGCAACGUUUAAUUACCUUUUCGAAAUAAUCGUUCAGACAUGUUGAACUUGAGUCAUGAUGGUGGUGCGCUAACAUUUUCAGUUCCACUUCAACACACAUAUCAGGAUAAUUCAUGAAUAUUCAUAUGUGCUCCGCCAACUGGAACCAAAUAUCUCAGGAACUGAAUAUAUUGUAACAAUGGGAAACAAUGCCAGGAUAAAUCAGCCUCUAAAGGGCACUUCAAAAGUAGAACAAUCAUUGCCGCCAUGUUGAAGGGCUAAUCCAAACCAAACCGAAGUGCACAUAAAUAGCUACUUCGAAGAGACCCUCAAAACGAACGUUUCCGUAUGGGUUCAACUAAUGGAUACUGCUGCCAAGCAGACCAGAUCCGGACCAUACUUCAUAAAUCGGCAGGUUUCCCAAGGGUGCAACUGAUCUUCAUUAGUGCCAGCCUUGUGUGAAGCGGCUCCUUUGGCUUGGAUAGAUGACGUUGAAAUGGAUUCCGAAUGACCGAUAUUUUUGAGCCCUACACCCUUCAACCCUCCGAAGCUCUCACUCUGGAGGGUAAACCCUAUGAAGGAAUAAGGGCAUAGCGAUUAGCCCUUCGGAAUGGAACGCACGCUUUUAGUACUGUCAACUGCUGGCGCAUGCUAAGAAGACUGGAGGCGUGUGGACUGUGCACGUGUCGAGAAAAUCUGGGCCGUGUGCGGACAGUCCAUGCAGACUGUGCUGAGGACGAAAUUUGCAUCACGCAUGCUGUGAGCAAAGUGAUCAGCAAUGCGGACAACCAAAGUAUACUUUGGGCUUCAGUUGUAUUAAACCCGAAACAUUCCUUGAAAAAAGCUAGUAAGACCCAUAAUAUUUUCAGAGACCUUAUCUGCUGUGUUCCUCACACACACAGCCAUCGUAUGGACUGGAAGCCAUAUAGUGCACAAGUCAUCAGACAACUUUCAUGUUACUGUUUUGUCCUUUUUGGAGCUUGGCAGCAUCUGGUCUCCAUCUACUUACUUAUUCAUCAAUAGCUCAUAUUGUGUUCCAUGGAAUAACAACAAACUUACAGGAUUACCAAAGCUGCUUAAAUGUGUCAUACCAUCAAGAAAUGGCCUGCAAAUAUUUACAAGCAAUGUACUUUGUUUGGUCUAAUUGGUAAACGCAUGAAAACGAAGUUGCUCAAGUUUAUCUUUAUACAAAAAGUGUUUAAAAGAUUCAGCGUAUAUGUAUGGUUAUGGCACACUUUUUUAAUUCUCUUACAUAUUGUUUUCUCUACUUCCCAAAAAUUCUAUAAACCUCUUGUGUUCUUUCAUCCACCCAUUCCUUUGACAAAUGACCAUGGGUUUGUGUAAGGCUCCUUUCAGCCUGUCAAUAAUCGCUGAACUGAUUCUUUCAUAAGUGAUUUAUUCAUUUAACAUGGCUAAUUUCCUGAUGCCAACAGUGAAGGAACUCAUUUUUAGUUAUAAGCAGUUAAGAGGUCCUCUUCACACCUUACAAACCUCCAAGAUAAUGAUUUCUAGGUGACCUGUCAUGGCUGCCUUCAUAGCUGUGUGUUCUGCAAGAUGUUGCAAAGCUCUCAUUUCUCAUUUUUGGCUUAUGCUCUAUUGAAACACCUUUCUUUUCAUGCCUUGUGAAACCAAAUACUUAAAUACCGCACCUAAUACAUCAUCAUUGCUCUUUCAUCAUGUAACAGUGA